GAAAGAUUGGAACUUUUGUUGAAUUAAGCUUUAAUUUUCCAUUUGCAGGUGUCCCAAGUGUGUGGAAUUGAAGCUUCCUGGUGAAGAUGCCGCUUUCUGCACUCAGGAUUGUUUUAAGGCUUCGUGGAGCUUGCAUAAAUCGGUACAUUUAAAGGGAAAGGAGUGCCUAAUUUCUGGUUGUAUGCUUUAAAAGGCUGUGCCACGUUAGAUG